UACGUGCACGAUAAUAUUAAAUAUGGCACCUAGCCACUUAAAGGAAUCUUAGGCCAGGCGUCUGAAAGCCCAAUCAAAAGGAUAGCUAGAACUGCUGAUGCUGGAGUCACAGGGAACACAGUGUGGAGCUGGAGGAACACAGCAGGCCAAGCAGCAUCAGAGAGAACACAGUGUGGAGCUGGAGGAACACAGCCGGCCAGGCAGCAUCAGAGAGAACACAGCGUGGAGCUGGAGGAACACAGCAGGCCAGGCAGCAUCAGAGGGAACACAGUGUGGAGCUGGAGGAACACAGCAGGCCAGGCAGCAUCAGCAAGAACACAGUGUGGAGCUGGAGGAAAAGAGCAGGCUAGGCAGCAUCAGAGGGAAUACAGUGUGGAGCUGGAGGAACACAGCAGGCCAGGCAGCAUCAGAGGGAACACAGUGUGGAGCUGGAGGAACACAGCAGGACAGGCAGCAUCAGAGAGAACACAGUGUGGAGCUGGAGGACACAGCAGGCCAGGCAGCAUCAGAGAGAACACAGUGUGGAGCUGGCGGAACACAGCAGGACAGGCAGCAUCAGAGAGAGCACAGUGUGGAGCUGGAGGAACACAGCAGGCCAGGCAGCAUCAGAGGGAACACAGUGUGGAGCUGGAGAAACACAGCAGGACAGGCAGCAUCAGAGGGAACACAGCAGGUCAGGCAGCAUCAGAGAGAACACAGUGUGGAGCUGGCGGAACACAGCAGGACAGGCAGCAUCAGAGAGAACACAGUGUGGAACUGGAGGAACGCAGCAGGCCAGGCAGCAGCAGAGAGAACACAGUGUGGAGCUCUUGUCCUGUAAAGGUAGAAACUAUUUGCCCUGGAAGGAAGGUUUUCGCGACUGGAGGGACAUACAGGAACGGGAGUCAGUCGUUCAGCCCAUCGAGCCCGUGCUGCCAGCCAAAGUAAGGGGAGCAGUGAGUUACUGCGAUGUGAUGCUGCCAGAUCUGAUGAGCUUUUCCAGCAAUAUCUGUUUUUGUUCCUGAUUUUCAGCAUCCGCAGUCCUUUCAAUUCUACAAAAUGCUGCCAGACCUGCUGAGCUUCCCCACCAUUCCCUGUGUUUGUUCCAGAUUCCCAGCAUCUGCAGUGUUUUGCCUUAGUCCUAAUGCACUGGGAGGAAUGGGUUCAAAUCUGAC